rnacentral:rRNA from 1 species
GACGAACGCUGGCGGCGUGCUUAACACAUGCAAGUCGAACGGUAAGGCCCUUCGGGGUACACGAGUGGCGAACGGGUGAGUAACACGUGGGUGAUCUGCCCUGCACUUCGGGAUAAGCCUGGGAAACUGGGCCUAAUACCGGAUAGGACUCCGGACUGCAUGGUCUGGGGUGGAAAGCUUUUGCGGUGUGGGAUGGGCCCGCGGCCUAUCAGCUUGUUGGUGGGGUGAUGGCCUACCAAGGCGACGACGGGUAGCCGGCCUGAGAGGGUGACCGGCCAAACUGGGACUGAGAUACGGCCCAGACUCCUACGGGAGGCAGCAGUGGGGAAUAUUGCACAAUGGGCGCAGGCCUGAUGCAGCGACGCUGCGUGAGGGAUGACGGCCUUCGGGUUGUAAACCUCUUUCAGCAUCGACGAAGCGAAAGUGACGGUAGGUGCAGAAGAAGGACCGGCCAACUACGUGCCAGCCGCCGCAGUAA